CUUCGGUCCCGGCCCGGUUCCCGGGGCGGAGGCGGCUCUCGGCCGUUUCCCGGUCUUCGGGUGGUUCGGGGGCUUCGGCCGAGGUCC
rnacentral:tRNA from 1 species